CCGGGCCCUGUGCGCGCGGACCAAGGGCGUGGAUGGGCGUCCUUGAGGGUCCGAGGAGGAGGCCUGGCGUCAUGAUGUCCCGAAGAAGCCCCUAGAGGUAUUCUGUUGGCCAGGGGAGGGAGGUCGCGCUCGGACCCCCUCAGCAGGGUUGCAAACGGCGAGUGGGGUGCUGCAGCUCCAGCAGCGCUUCUGCCACGCCCCCUGUCCCGGCCCGACCUCUAGGCCCAGGUGGGGGGGUGAUCCACAUACAGCAGGAGCCUCCUGGGUGCUCCCAGGCAUCACUCUCCAAAUGGGCCUGUGGGCACCUGGCCAGCCCCAGUACAGGCCAGUCGCGCCGACAUCUUGCUCCAGAGCCAGCAGGGCUGGCAGCCAACGGCCAAGCAGGCCCCUGGUCCCUGCACCCUGGGGUCCCUGUCUGCCUGAGCCCCCCAACAUGGAUGUGCAGAGUACCGAAGCCCCCCGCAGUGACCUGCUGCAGGACCUGGCAGAACAUCGAUUUCAGGAACUUGAACAACACUUUCAAGCUCUGACUGCAAACUUAAACCUCAGAAAUAUCCUUUUCUGUCUCCACAUGGUGACACUUGACGGUCCAAGGCCAGGGACUCUUGUCUGCUGAGCA